CAUGUUAUGUGAAUGCUUACCGGGCCAUGUGCUACUGUGGUGCAGUGCGGGCUGGGUAGAUUCUGUGAAUCACUGUUUUGAUUCCCAGCGAGUCAUUGUCUUGAUUCUCAAGUGUGUUGAUUCUGAUGUGAGCACUGAACGUGUCAUACAGUGCAUCAAAAACAGAAAGAAUGAUCGAGAAAAUGAACGAUACAACGAUUCAUCGGCUUGGACAUCUGUUCAGGAAUGCCCGUGCCAUGGCUAAACAAGGCCGUUCACCGACUGUGUCUGGCUGUGUCAGCUGGACAGCGUGAAGGGGCUCGAUAUCGGCACAGCCUACCAGAAUGACCAUGCAGCGCAGGUCUUCAUCCAUUUCAUAGCGGAGGUGGAAAGACGCAGCAUGGUCCAGCGUGUGAAGAAGUUCAUCAAAGCUGCCACUCUGUAUGCCCUGAAGGAUAGACUGGAGAUGGAUGACGAGGAAAUGUCCCAGAAACUGGUGGGGUUUGGCGCUGAUGGAGCAAGUGUGAUGCAGGGGAGGAAAGGUGGUGUCGCAACUUUGAUGAAGGGUCUGAAUCCUAAAGUAUAGGCAGUGCAUUGUUCUGCCCAUCGGCUAGAGUUGGCCUUCAAGGACACCAUGAAGGGAGUCAACCUGUGUAACACAGUCAACUCUGUUUCUGAACAUACUUGUUCUACCGGAACAGUUCAAAAACCGUAAGUGCCCUCAAAGAGUCUGCGAAAGCAGUUGGAAUCGCUCCUGCAGAAAUCCAACAAGGGUGGGAGGAACAAGAUUGAUUCCUCACUUUGAACGGGCCAUACUGAAUUUCUUCAGAGGCUACCAAGUGAUUGUGACUCAUCUCUAUCAGCUUCAAGUACAGGUGGGCACUUCCAGUGAAACCAGGGCCAAGGCGAAGGGAUACAUCAAGUUCUUGGAGUGCAGGGAUGUGCUGAUGUAUAUCCUUUUCCUGUACGAUGUUGUCAUCAUACUUUCCAAGGUGGGCAAUAUCAAGCAUUACGGAAUGACAAUCAGAGUGUUUUUUAUUUUGAAAAUAUGGAUAUCAAGAAUAGUGCUAGUGCUGUUGGGGAGGAUUUAAACUAAUGUGGCAGGGGGAUGGGAGCAUGAGCAGAGAGACAGAGGGGUGUAAAAUGAGGAUAGAAGCAAUAGGUAGCAAGGUGAAAAGUAAAAGUGGCAGGCAGACAAAUCCAGGGCAAAAAUCAAAAAGGGCCACUUUUCAACAUA